rnacentral:rRNA from 1 species
UAGGGAAUCUUCCGCAAUGGGCGAAAGCCUGACGGAGCAACGCCGCGUGAGUGAUGAAGGUCUUCGGAUCGUAAAACUCUGUUAUUAGGGAAGAACAAAUGUGUAAGUAACUAUGCACGUCUUGACGGUACCUAAUCAGAAAGCCACGGCUAACUACGUGCCAGCAGCCGCGGUAAUACGUAGGUGGCAAGCGUUAUCCGGAAUUAUUGGGCGUAAAGCGCGCGUAGGCGGUUUUUUACGUCUGAUGUGAAAGCCCACGGCUCAACCGUGGAGGGUCAUUGGUAACUGGAAAACUUGAGUGCAGAAGAGGAAAGUGGAAUUCCAUGUGUAGCGGUGAAAUGCGCAGAGAUAUGGAGGAACACCAGUUGCGAAGGCGACUUUCUGGUCUGUAACUGACGCUGAUGUGCGAAAGCGUGGGGAUCAAACAGG